rnacentral:rRNA from 1 species
GACGAACGCUGGCGGCGUGCUUAACACAUGCAAGUCGAACGGAAAGGCCCUGCUUUUGUGGGGUUCUCGAGUGGCGAACGGGUGUGUAACACGUGAGUAACCUGCCCUUGACUUUGGGAUAACUUCAGGAAACUGGGGCUAAUACCGGAUAGGAGCUCCUGCUGCAUGGUGGGGGUUGGAAAGUUUCGGCGGUUGGGGAUGGACUCGCGGCUUAUCAGCUUGUUGGUGGGGUAGUGGCUUACCAAGGCUUUGACGGGUAGCCGGCCUGAGAGGGUGACCGGCAACAUUGGGACUGAGAUACGGCCCAGACUCCUACGGGAGGCAGCAGUGGGGAAUAUUGCACAAUGGGAGGAAGCCUGAUGCAGCAACGCCGCGUGCGGGAUGACGGCCUUCGGGUUGUAAACCGCUUUCGCCUGUGACGAAGCGUGAGUGACGGUAAUGGGUAAAGAAGCACCGGCUAACUACGUG